GACGAACGCUGGCGGCGUGCCUAAUACAUGCAAGUCGAACGCACGAAGUUGAAGAGCUUGCUCUUUAACCAAGUGAGUGGCGGACGGGUGAGUAACACGUGGGUAACCUGCCCAUUAGAGGGGGAUAACAUUCGGAAACGGAUGCUAAUACCGCAUAGUUUCAGGAAUCGCAUGAUUCUUGAAGGAAAGGUGGCUUCGGCUACCACUAAUGGAUGGACCCGCGGCGUAUUAGCUAGUUGGUGAGGUAAUGGCUCACCAAGGCAAUGAUACGUAGCCGACCUGAGAGGGUGAUCGGCCACACUGGGACUGAGACACGGCCCAGACUCCUACGGGAGGCAGCAGUAGGGAAUCUUCCGCAAUGGACGAAAGUCUGACGGAGCAACGCCGCGUGAGUGAAGAAGGUUUUCGGAUCGUAAAACUCUGUUGUUAAAGAAGAACAAGGAUGAGAGUAACUGCUCAUCCCCUGACGGUAUUUAACCAGAAAGCCACGGCUAACUACGUGCC
rnacentral:rRNA from 1 species